rnacentral:rRNA from 1 species
UUAAGUAAGUAAGGGCGUACGGCGGAUGCCUUGGCCAUAUCAGCCGAAGAAGGACGCGAUAAGCUGCGAUAAGCUGCGGUGAGGUGCAAGUAACCAGUGACCCGCAGAUUUCCGAAUGGGGAAACCCGGCAGUAGUAGUACUGUCACCUCUCUUUGAGAGGAGGGCACCCGGUGAACUGAAACAUCUAAGUAGCCGGAGGAAGAGGAAUCAAAAGAGAUGCCCCCAGUAGCGGCGAGCGAAGCGGGCAAAGCCCAAACCGGAGCGGGAAACCGCACCGGGGUUGAGGACUACCAACAAGUACCUGGAUGAAGUCGAAUCAGGUGGGAACCUGAGCCAGAGACGGUGAGAGCCCGGUAGACGUAAAGAAGGGUAUGGGGUAGUAUCCAGAGUACCACGGGGCACGAGGAACCUUGUGGGAAGCAGGGGGGACCACCCUCCAAGGCGAAAUACUGAUAUGGACCGAUAGCGCAUAGUACCGUGAGGGAAAGGUGAAAAGAACCCCGGGAGGGGAAUGAAAGAGAACCUGAAACCGUAUGUCUACAAGCAGUCGAAGCACCGUAUGCGUGCGACGGCGUGCCUAUUGAAGAAUGAACCGGCGAGUUAUUUCAUCCGGCGAGGUUAAGCGGAAGACGCGGAGCCGAAGCGAAAGCGAGUCUGAAUAGGGCGAAGAGUCGGAUGGAAUAGACCCGAAACCACAGUGAUCUAUCCAUGCCCAGGUUGAAGCACAGGUAAAAAUGUGUGGAGGACCGAACCAGUGAGCGUUGAAAAGCUUUUGGAUGAGGUGUGGAUAGGGGUGAAAUGCCAAUCGAACGUGGAGAUAGCUGGUUCUCCCCGAAAUAGCUUUAGGGCUAGCCUCAUGGCAAGAGUGCAGGCGGUAGAGCACUGAACAGGGUAGGGGCCUAUCCGGCUACCGAACCUAAUCAAACUACGAAUGGCUGUACUUAUCCAUGGGAGUCAGACUGCGAGUGAUAAGACCCGUAGUCAAGAGGGAAACAGCCCAGACCAACAGCUAAGGUCCCCAAUGCCGUACUAAGUGGUAAAGGAUGUGGAGUUUCGAAAACAACCAGGAUGUUGGCUUAGAAGCAGCCACCAUUAAAAGAGUGCGUAAUAGCUCACUGGUCGAGAGACUCUGCGCCGAAGAUGACCGGGGCUAAAGUACGGAACCGAAGCUUUGGCAUGUAUGUAAAUACAUGGGUAGGGGAGCGUUCCUGCAUGGGCGAAGCCUGACCGGAAGGACAGGUGGACAGGCAGGAAGUGAGAAUGCCGGUAUGAGUAGCGAAAAGAAAGGUGAGAAUCCUUUCCACCGAAAGCCUAAGGGUUCCUGGGCAACGAUCGUCGACCCAGGGUAAGUCGGGACCUAAUCCGAGGCGAAGACGCAUAGGAGAUGGACAACAGGUUGAAAUUCCUGUACCGACGUCGUCUGUUUGAGCGAUGGAGUGACACAAGAAGGAAAGUUCGCAUGCGAUUGGAAGAGCAUGUCUAAGCAGGUAGGUUGAAUACCAGGCAAAUCCGGUAUUCUAAAAGCCGAGAAGUGAUAGGGAGCCUGUAGAAAUACAGGUGAAGGAACCGGGACUCGAUUGUCAAGAAAAGCUUCUAGUGAGGACGACGCCGCCCGUACCAAAACCGACACAGGUAGGCAAGAAGAGAAUUCUAAGGUGCGCGGGAAAACCCUCGUUAAGGAACUCGGCAAAAUGUAUCCGUAACUUCGGGAAAAGGAUAACCCAGAGUACGUGAAGGAAAGAAACAUCCGGAGCGGGAAUGGGUGGCACAAGAGAGGCCCAAGCGACUGUUUACCACAAACACAGGCGUCUGCUAAAGAGAAAUCUGAUGUAUAGAUGCUGACACCUGCCCGGUGCUGGAAGGUUAAGAGGACGUGUUAGCCGCAAGGCGAAGCAGAGAAUUGAAGCCCCAGUAAACGGCGGCCGUAACUAUAACGGUCCUAAGGUAGCGAAAUUCCUUGUCGGGUAAGUUCCGACCCGCACGAAAGGUGUAACGAUUUACUGUAACCUGAGAUUGAAUUUUGGUAGAAGAUGUACAGGAUAGUUGGGAGACGUAGAAGCGCGCACGCCAGUGUACGCAGAGUCGAUGGUGGGAUACCAACCUUGUUUUAUUGAAAUUCUAACGAGAGCCGUAACGAGGCUGCGGACAGUCUCAGGCGGGCAGUUUGACUGGGGCGGUCGCCUCCGAAAGAGCAACGGAGGCGCCCAAAGGUUCCCUCAGCGCGGACGGAAACCGCGCGAAGAGUGUAAAGGCAGAAGGGAGCUUGACUGCGAGACGGACAGGUCGAGCAGGGACGAAAGUCGGGCUUAGUGAUCCGGUGGUGCCGAGUGGAAGGG